rnacentral:rRNA from 1 species
GACGAACGCUGUCGGCGUGCUUAACACAUGCAAGUCGAACGGAAAGGCCCUGCUUUUGUGGGGUGCUCGAGUGGCGAACGGGUGAGUAACACGUGAGUAACCUGCCCUUGACUUUGGGAUAACUUCAGGAAACUGGGGCUAAUACCGGAUAGGAGCUCCUGCUGCAUGGUGGGGGUUGGAAAGUUUCGGCGGUUGGGGAUGGACUCGCGGCUUAUCAGCUUGUUGGUGGGGUAGUGGCUUACCAAGGCUUUGACGGGUAGCCGGCCUGAGAGGGUGACCGGCCACAUUGGGACUGAGAUACGGCCCAGACUCCUACGGGAGGCAGCAGUGGGGAAUAUUGCACAAUGGGCGGAAGCCUGAUGCAGCAACGCCGCGUGCGGGAUGACGGCCUUCGGGUUGUAAACCGCUUUCGCCUGUGACGAAGCGUGAGUGACGGUAAUGGGUAAAGAAGCACCGGCUAACUACGUGCCAGCAGCCGCGGUGAUACGUAGGGUGCGAGCGUUGUCCGGAUUUAUUGGGCGUAAGGGGCUCGUAGGUGGUUGAUCGCGUCGGAAGUGUAAUCUUGGGGCUUAACCCUGAGCGUGCUUUCGAUACGGGUUGACUUGAGGAAGGUAGGGGAGAAUGGAAUUCCUGGUGGAGCGGUGGAAUGCGCAGAUAUCAGGAGGAACACCAGUGGCGAAGGCGGUUCUCUGGGCCUUUCCUGACGCUGAGGAGCGAAAGCGUGGGGAGCGAACAGGCUUAGAUACCCUGGUAGUCCACGCUGUAAACGGUGGGUACUAGGUGUGGGGUCCAUUCCACGGGUUCCGUGCCGUAGCUAACGUUUUAAGUACCCCGCCUGGGGAGUACGGCCGCAAGGCUAAAACCCAAAGGAAUUGACGGGGCCCCGCACAAGCGGCGGAGCAUGCGGAUUAAUUCGAUGCAACGCGUAGAACCUUACCUGGGUUUGACAUGGAUCGGGAGUGCUCAGAGAUGGGUGUGCCUCUUUUGGGGUCGGUUCACAGGUGGUGCAUGGCUGUCGUCAGCUCGUGUCGUGAGAUGUUGGGUUAAGUCCCGCAACGAGCGCAACCCUUGUUCACUGUUGCCAGCACGUUAUGGUGGGGACUCAGUGGAGACCGCCGGGGUCAACUCGGAGGAAGGUGGGGAUGACGUCAAGUCAUCAUGCCCCUUAUGUCCAGGGCUUCACGCAUGCUACAAUGGCUGGUACAGAGAGUGGCGAGCCUGUGAGGGUGAGCGAAACUCGGAAAGCCGGUCUCAGUUCGGAUUGGGGUCUGCAACUCGACCUCAUGAAGUCGGAGUCGCUAGUAAUCGCAGAUCAGCAACGCUGCGGUGAAUACGUUCCCGGG